AGCAGCAGCUCCUAACCUUUUCGUCUUUGAAUAUUUGAAUACGAAGAGGUUAGGAGCCGCUGCUG
rnacentral:pre_miRNA from 1 species